rnacentral:lncRNA from 1 species
CUCUGCUUCAUGAGCAGAACAUGUUCUGCAGGUCAAUGAUCUCGCGAGUUUGCCGAGUCAUCAUGGUAACCUUGUACCGCCUACAAAACUUACCAGGAAAGGUUAAAGGAUCUUAACAUGUAUAGCUUGGAGGAAAGACGAGACAGGGGGGAUAUGAUAGAAACAUUUAAAUAUAUAAAGGGAAUCAACACAGUAAAGGAGGAGACUAUAUUUAAAAGAAGAAAAACUUCCACAACAAGAGGACAUAGUCUUAAAUUAGAGGGGCAAAGGUUUAAAAAUAAUAUCAGGAAGUAUUACUUUACUGAGAGGGUAGUGGGUGCAUGGAAUAGCCUUCCAGCUGAAGUGGUAGAGGUUAACACAGUAAAGGAGUUUAACCCCUUAAGGACACAUGAUAUGUGUGACAUGUCAUGAUUACCUUUUAAUCCAGAAGUUUGGUCCUUAAGGGGUUAAGCAUGCGUGGGAUAAGCAUAACGCUAUCCUUUCCUAACUAUAAUAUAAGGCCAGGGACUAUAGAAAGUAUUUAGAAAAUUGGGCAGACUAGAUAAACCAAUCGGUUCUUAUCUGCCGUCACAAUCUAUGUUUCUACAAGAGUCCUUAAAGUUACAGGACCCUGUAAUUCUAAGUUAAUUUAUAGUAACAUUUCAUCUGGUCAUAUUUAUGGGACACAUCAUCUUCCCUUCUCCAGUCACACCCCUUUGUUUGAUUUGACGCAGGGUGAUGAUGCUGUCCCAUAGCUUUGUGGGUAUCCCAGUAUAUACGUCCCUCUUCCUUGGAAUUAUUGCCCUGUCGUGGAUAAUUUUGCCUGAGAGUGUGCUCUGAUUAUUUGUUGUUCUUGUCACUGACCUGGCUUCAUGUUGACCAUUCUUAUUUUUUGUAACCUUGUUUAAUCAUUUCAUGAAUACGUCUGGAAUCCUUGACAAGGGCUUACAGUCUGACACUGCAUUUUCACCAAUCUUGGGUACAUGUUAAAUCUGGUCACUCUCAGUUCCGGUCUACGUAUCACGUUAUCUUUUACUUCAUACUAGCUACUGUUUCCCUAUUCUCUGUGUGUAGGGAUUGCCCCAACUUGACAACUACAGACCUUGGAUCAGUAACAGUUAGAAUACACCCAUAUUGUGGGAAGAUCUGUAUUUUAGUCUUUACAUAAACAUUUACUUUGGAAGUUUUGUAACUUGUUAGAUAUAAUAAUUGCAUAUUAUUAUUGAUACUAUGCUGCAUAUUUGCAACACAGACAGGCAAUCAAUAUUUACUAGGACACUUUUACACUUUUUUUUAAUUAUAAAACUCACUAGUAAAGUGCAUUUAUUUGUUCUCAUAAAACAAAUGAAAACAUGCACUAUAUGGACAAAAGCUUGUGGGCACCAAUUAUAAUUAUUGAGUUCAAGUGCUUCAGCCUCAUUAAUUGUUAAUAAGUGCAUACAACCCAGCACAUGAAAUCACUGUAAAGUAAUAUUGGGAGAACAGUGGGCAACUGAAGUUAUUUAAAAAAUCUUUAAUUACAGUAUCUAAAACAACAUUAUGCUAAAGGAUUAUAUAGUAAAUUUACUAUUUCUUGUUAAGUUGUUAAGUGUACAAGUAAAAAUAAAAUGUACAGUUAUAAAUUAGUAUAAAAGUACAAUGUGGUACAUUAGAAUAUACACUAACAAAUGCAGAAAAUUGGAAAAUAUAUAAUUUUUUAUUAGGUCUGCAUCGGUCACAUAAUGAUUUUUUUUAAAUUAGUCUACAAAAUGGCUAAAAUGUUGAACAAGUUAAAGGAACACUAUAGUCACCUAAAUUACUUUAGCGAAAUAAAGCAGUUUUAGUGUCUAGAUCAUUCCCCUGCAAUUUCACUGCUCAAUUCACUGUCAUUUAGGAGUUAAAUCACUUUUUUCUGUUUAUGCAGCCCUAGCCACACCUCCCCUGGCUAUGAUUGACAGAGCUUGCAUGAAAAAAAACUGGUUUCACUUUCAAACAGAUGUAAUUUACCUUAAAUAAUUGUAUCUCAAUCUCUAAAUUGAACUUUAAUCACAUACAGGAGGCUCUUGCAGGAUCUAGCAAACUAUUAACAUAGCAGGGGAUAAGAAAAUAUUAAUUAAACAGAACUUGCAAUAAGGAAAGCCUAAAUAGGGUUCUCUUUACAGGAAGUGUUUAUGGAAGGCUGUGCAAGUCACAUGCAGGAAGGUGCGACUAGGGUUCAUAAACAAAGGGAUUUAACUCCUAAAUGGCAGAGGAUUGAGCAGUGAGGCUGCAGGGGCAUGUUCUAUACACCAAAACUGUUUCAUUAAGCUAAAGUUGUUCAGGUGACUAUAGUGUCCCUUUAACUAAAAAACAAAAACACUAGUUGACGGUAAGUAACAAAUAGUCUUGAUGUUUGGAUCUACCCUAUUACUCCUAAAAAAUAAAAUGAUACAUAGUCCUUCCCCAGAAUAUCUAACUGCCCCUUUAUGGCAUUUAGAAUGUGUGACUUGCCACCUGAUUGCACAUACUGCUGUCCAACCCUUAUAAAGAAAUAUUCAUCACAUAGUCCGCAGCGAUACUAUAAAAAGGGAUAUCACAGAAAUCAUACCACACAUCCUUCCUGUUUGCAAAUUUAACGUUCAUCUAUUUUAUAACGAGAUAGGAUCCCCAUCUUUUCACAUCUAAUCUUUCAGACGUUAUAUUUAAGGUGGCUGUCUCUGUCUGGUGUUUUCAUUUUGGCGACAUGUAAAACGUACAUAGUUUGCCAGUCUCCAACCAUGGAUAUCAGCUACACACUGUGCGGUGGGUAUAAAAUAACUUUAUGUUUAAUAUGUUUUAUGUUUAGUAUAAAUGUUAUAAUUGUGUUGCAGCUUCCUGUGUUUCCUUUCUAUUCUCUUUUUCACCUCACUUUACCUUCAGAAACUGUGUUCACGGUUCAUUUAGGCAGAGUUAACUUUGUUUGUUUUUAGUCUUUAUUGCAUUGAUUUUGACGAUAUUACAAUCAUUGGUUGAGUACUUUUUAAUUUUGUAAUUUCCUACUUAAUGUGUUUUAGUUUCCUUUUUAAUUCAAACACUGCAUGCCUACUUGUCUGAACAAGCCACUUCUUGUUGUUCCAACUACUGUAAAUGUCUAGACAUUGACACAAAGGUCAUUUUCACCUUGUACCUUCAUAGCUAUUUUCAUAUACUGUAGAAUAAAAUGUAAAAUAAAAAAUUAUGGCCUGAAGGUAGGGACUAUGGAAGAUGCUCUUUUAUUUGUCAGUAUAUUGUUGAGUGCUGGCUUCUUAAAGAGGCAUUAUCAUGCCGAACUUACCUUUCCCCUAUCGAUUCCUCUUCUCUCCCUCUGUCAGAAUCUGUUCUUCAUUUCUUCCUUUCUGCUCUUGUUUUCCUUAAAACAUAAGACAAAGAAGGGACAAUUUUUUCUUAUGGAGGUUUCCUACGCCUGACCAGCUUUAACCAGCGGAGGAGCAAAGUGUGCAUCUUGCAGCUGCUUAGUAGAUAGCUCCCUAAUUCCCACGGUAUCGGGAGCUAUCUACCAAAAGGCUAAAAGACCUAAAUUGGUCUUUCAGACAAAUUUACUAAUACUAAGUAAAUUUAGUUUACUUAUUGCCCCCAGCCCCCAACCCUGAGCGGCGGGUGGAGGCCCUAAAUUAUAAUAUGGGGAUGGGGGACCUAUAGUCCUCCCUCUCUAACCCCCACCCCUGAGCAGCGGGUGGAGGCCCUAAAUGAAAAUGUAGGGGGGGACCCAUUGUCAGAGUGUUUUUACCAGUCAAAUUACACAGUAUGGGAAAAUUCCAAAUAACUUUUCUACGCUGUGUAAAAUGCCACAGAACACUCUGAUUUGUUGGAUUUCAAGCCAACCAAUCAGAGUGCUGUGACAGGUAAAUUUAGAGACUUACCUGUCUGUCUCUUCAUUUACCUUAAACCAACCAAUCGGAGCGCUCUGAGCCAAAUUGCAGGGCGGGGAAAGCCUUUCCCUGCCCUGAAGAGCUCAAUCUGCGUCGUGCCCUCCAUGGGUGAAGAUGGAUUAUUUUUUAGCGUUGGGUUUUUUUCUUUUCGUCAUAUUUUUUUGGGCGCUCAGUUUUUUGUUUUUUUUAAUUCAGACAGGUAUUAUGGACUUUUAUUUGGCCUUUUUGGGCCUGAAAAAAUAAGAUUUUAGAAAAAAGACAUCAAAUGCUAAGUUAUUUUUUAUUUACAGGGAUUUCGUUUUAUUGUUCCCCCUCACUAUUUUUACGGUGAGGGGGGUAUGUAGGGAUUUAUUAUUUUUUGGGGGUGGGGGUGUGACUAGGGGAGUGGGGACCCCUAGUCACCUGGGGGGUUAACAUUUUCAUUUAGGGCUCCCACCCACCACUCAUGGGUGGGGGCCGGGGAGGACAAUAGGUCUCCCCCAUUUUUAUUUAGGGCCCCCACCCACCGCUCAUGGGUGGGGGCCAAGGGAGAAAAUCAGUCAGACAGCUCAGCUCGCGAACGCGAAUUCCGCGCACAUGCACAGUUGAGCGCUGAGUUUCUUCAUGGGGCGGCAUUCAAUGCCGCUCUAUGAAGAAUGCAAUUGAUGCAGCUCGAAACCACGCAUGCGCACCACAUCACGAUGACACUUCCCAAGGAGAAGCGUCCUAUUUGGCCCUGCGAUUUAGUCAUUUUGAUGAAAAAGGGGGCGUGGCCUAGCUGGGAGCUUGGCGCUGGAACGGAGGUAAGUUUAUUAUUACUCAGAUUUUUUUUUUUUAUGGCAAGUUCCUAUAAAAGCAAGAAAGAAGGCUGGGGGACCUGUCUUUCUUGCUUUUAUAUGUUGACUGUAGUGUCCCUUUAAUAAAUAUUUCUGUAGCUCCUCGAUUCACCAAAUAAUUCCUUUCCUAUUGGUUUGUUUUCAGAGUGACUUGAUGGAUUUUUAACACUAAUGGUGUGUAAACGAUAACUUUUAAAUGUUAAACCUUUUGAAUGUUAAAUCUGAGACAUGCUUAUUUGAUUGUACUUUUCCAAUGAUUUCCUUUUCAUAUGUGAGGAUGAUGUAAUAUAGAUUUGAUUCAGUACAAAAUCUGACACUUUUUUUCAGGUCCUUUCGAAAAAAAAUAUCUUCACCAUCAAUCCCACUGUAAAUAAGCAAAAAGGAGUAAAGGACAAUCAAUUUCAACCCCUAUAUGUCACUUUAACCAACUGCCAAUUUGCAUUUACCUCUCUUGCUAGUCUCAACUGUUCCCCCUACACUAAUGCUAUUUAGUACUCCUAACCCACUAGUGAGGUUUUGAAUAGGAGUGCUAAAAUUGAAAGGGAUACUAAACACAUCAAACUUUAGCUUAAUGAAGCAGUUUUAGCAUAUAGAUCAUGACCCUGCAGUCUCACUGCUCCAUUCUCUGUCAUUUAGGAGUUAAAUCACUUUUUCAGUAUGGUCUAUAAGACUUUCAACAGCGCAAGAGACAAUAAAUUCUAAAUUAAGCAGAAUAUGCAAUAAAUAUAGUUUAAACUUUAGAUCUCUCUUUACAGGAAGUAUUUAGGAAGGCUGUGCCAGUCACAUGCAAGAAGGUGUGACUUGAGCUGUAUAAACAAAGUGAUUUAACUCCUAAAUGACAGCAAACUGAGCAGUGAGACUGCAGGGGCAUGAUCUAUACACCAAAACUGCUUUAUUAAGCUAAAUUUGUUUUGGUGCAUAUGGUGUUUAGAGUUGCAUUACUAUAACGAUUCAAAAUGUAAACAGACUUAAAGUAGUAUUGCACAUAAAGUGUCAUCAUCAUAGAUCUGAGUUGCAGAAUCAGAACACUCAAUGGCAGUUGAUCCCAAUUCUCAACCCAGUUUUCAAGAACCCCAAUAGUCCAUAUUUUAGGCAUAUCCUUAUUUGGUUCCAAAAUUUAAAAGAGCACUGUAGUAACCCUUUACCCCCCUCUUUAAAUCCCCCUACCUCGGUGAUAUAAAGGAUUACAUGCUUUCCGAUUUCCAGUGCCAAUGUCCCUCGGCGGUGAGUCGGGCUCCUCCUCUGCCAAUGUCAGCCAAACAGGGGAACCUAAUGCGCAAACCCAGUGAGCACAAGGCAAUGACUCAAUGUUUUCCUAUCGGGAUUCUGAAAAUGCUGGACAUCAUCAUGCAAAGCAUUUAAUGGAGUCAAACUGUCACAGUCUUCUCAGUUCUUCACCACUGGGUGAUUGAAAUGGGAUCAUUGGCGUAUUAACAAAAUAUUUAACAGUGAUUUAUUGUUAAUAGUAAUAUGAUGCAUUUUAAUUAUGCAUAUUGCAUCCUGGAGAUAUAUUCAAAAGGUUAAAGGUUUUUUUUUUUUACUCUUUACAACUGUAUUCAAUAAAUAAUCAAAUCCCUUUAAGGUCUUGUAGUUGUCCUCACUGUGACAACUACCAGUAGACUGAGUUUUAGUUCCUCAGAAAAUAAUUUUUGAGUUUCCCAUGUGGCUUUCAUAUUAUGUGGCAAACUUAAAAUAUUUGUACUCCAUAGUGUAAUUUCUAAGUACUUCAAUGUCAUAUUGGAAUAAUAGAGUCUACACAUUUCUAAUUCUAAAGUGUUGUACGGCAUGGUAAGCAAUCUAGGGAGAUGUUAUGUGGCAGCAAAUACUAGAAAAAUAUAAACAUUUAAUUAUAUCGCUUUUUUGUUUGUUUUUAGAUGAAAGGAAUCCACCAAUUAUUUUCUUUGAACCAUGUGUCUACAGCAUUAAUGGAAAAUUCAGGACUUCAAUAUCAUGGAUACCAAGUAUGCAUUUAUUAUAAACACCCUUUUUAAAAUCAUUCUUUAUCAUUCUUUAUUUUUCUGUGCGUGGUGGUAUAAACAGGCUUGCAAAGCCUCAACAACUUUUGCAGGCAGGCAGGAAAACAUAGUAAAAAUCAUAUGCAUGGCAUCUUGAAGUUGUUGCACAUUUUUAUGUUGAGGAAACUAGGUAUUUAUAUUCAAUACUAAGCAUUCUUGUCUGUUGUGUUCUAUGCGUCUAUCUGUAUUUUGUUGGGCUUCGGUGUGUAUGCUCAGUUGCCUAGUUACUUAGGUUUAUGUUGAGUGAGAAAAAUAGUAUAGUUAAAUGUGAGUGGAGAGUAGUGAAGGAGUAUUAAACCCCUACGCAUUUGUUUGUGUGCUGUUGGGCCACUUAGAGAGAGCUAUAUCUCGUGGGGUGUGAGGCCCCAGCUAGUAGGGUGUUGUCCGACAUAUCUAGGCCAGUAUACCACAGGGAGGGCAGGGUGUGUGUGUGGUGGAUGCUCGAGUGGCAUGACUCCUAGGGCCGCGAGGGUGAAAAGUCUAUGCCAUGUGGAGGAGUUCCUGAUGUUUGGGUUUAAGUUAUGUAGAUGGUCUAUUGGGCUUGAGAUAGCCUUAUGGGUUCCUUUUGACCCAUUAUGAGGGGGGAUGCUGUAGCCCUUUGUUUGUGUUGCCGUUAUCCUAGAGGGCUGUAGGAAGGGGUAAUGUCUCUGAAUAUCUGCUGGUGCGCCCUUGUCUGAAGUGGGGAGUGUAACUGCGCUAACAGAGUGUGUUGAACAACGAAAACAAUAUUAACAUCAACAGCGGGGAUAUAGAUUUAUCUUCUUGUAGUUAGGAGUGUCUGGGCGCCAUCUACUUAUCAGGGGUAAAAUAGUUUGACAAUGGUGUAACCACAAAUUUGGGGCUGAUAGCUUUUUCUCAACUGAUAGGCUGAGAGUGUCCAUCUGGCUCUCCCUUGCUCUUAUUACACUACAAAGAGAAAUAAGCUUAAGUUGUUAUGGGGUGGGAUUGUUCCUUUAAAGUAAUUAUUAACCCCUUAAGGACACAGCUUCAGAAGCUUGUCUUACGCUUAAUGACACAAGCAAUUUUUGCAUUUUCUUGCUGUAUGCGUUCAACUGCAAUUUGCAUCUCUCUCGUUUAUUGCACCGACACAUAUUAUAUACUGUUUUUUAAAGGACAUAAAGGGCUUUAAUUUGAUGUAACAUAUAUAUAUAUAUAAAUGCUUAUUUAUUAUUUAAAAAAUACAGAAAAAUGCAAAAAAAAGAAAAAUUUUGUGUUUUUUGUACAGUUUUUGCAAUAAUAAUGUGUGCCUAAUUAGUGCAGGUUAAAGAAAGUAAUUAAAAAUAAAUUUAUUUAGUUGUUCUGAUUUACAAAAUAUAUAAUGUGUCUGGGAUUUAAAGUUUUUUUUGGUAGUUACAGGUCAUAAAGCACAAGGAGUAAAAUAAACUUUUAAUGUAGAGCGAUUUUAGAAUUUUGUAUGUUUGUCUUGUAAGCUUAAUAGCCAUAAAAGAAAACAAAAUUGCCACACAAAAGUAUAUAUUUAUAUAAAGUAGACAUCACAGGCUAUUGUCCUAAGGUUUUUUGACACUUUCUAAGUAGCCAUUUCACCGCCAAUCUCUGCUAAAUAUUGGAGUAAAAUUUAGUUUUUUGGAGUUUUUGGCACACAAACUUAUAACAAAGAACUUCCCAUGUAUAUUUUGUAAAGUUGGUGUGUGCUAUUCCUGUACAAAGUUUUAUUUUGUGUUCAGUUACUUCUGCUGAGUACAACGAUACCCCCAUUGUAUGUCUUUGGCACUAUUUCGUGAAGCUACAGUGCCAUAUAGGAGACCUGUCCGUUUCAACAUUUACAGUAGAAUUUUGAGAGGCGGAUUUAAUGGGCCUAUGCUUCAAUUUGGGGUAUUAUAGCAGUUUGACUGUUCAAAAAAAACCCACAAAGGCCUACCAUUUAUAAAAGUAGACACUCCAGGGUAUCUCAUAUGGUGCAUAUUGUGCCUUAACAUGCCCCCAUUUUUUCACCAAUAUAUGCCAAAGUAUGUGGUAAAAAAUAAUUUUGGGCAUUUUUUACAUACGGAUUACAUUUUUGCUGGGCAUUUUGUACAUUUCAUAUGUGCCACUAAGUUCAAACCCCCCAAAUUAUGCUCAGCUAAGUCUUCUGAGUAAAACAAUAUGCCCAAUGUAUGACCUAGACACUAUUUUGUGAAGUUACACUGCUAUAAAAGAGACAUAACAAGUUAAGGUUUUUAAGUGUGAAUUUUCAUGGAGGGUUUUGAUACGUCUGUGUUCCACUUUGGAGCACUUGAGCAGGCUACAUAUUACAACUACACCAUAAAGGCAUACCAUUUCUUAAAGAACACAUCCCAGGGUAUUUCAAAAGGCAUAUUUUGAACCUUAGCGUGGGAUAAUUUUUCCGCUAGCUUGUACCAAGUGUAAUGGUAAUAAGCGUUUUUUUGCCUUUUUGACACACAAAGUAAAUUUGCGCAGUACAUUUUGCAAAUCUUAUGUGUGCUACGACUGUAUAAUACUUCAUAUGUUGCUCAGCUAUGUCGGCUGAGUACAUCAAUACCCCCGUAUGUACCUUUGCCAGGUAUAUGUGGACAUCGGAGGGGCACAUUUGGGACACAGCCAUUCCAGUUCAUUUCAAACUUUAAAUUUUUACACUGUUCCCAUGUCCCAUUUUAGAGUAUUUUACCAGGCUAUAUAAUCCAAAUACCCCAUAAAGCCAUACCAUUUCUUAAAGAAGACAUCCCAGGGUAUUUCAAAAGGCAUAUUUUGAACCUUAGCGUGGGAUCAUUUUUCCGCUAGCUUGUACCAAGUGUAGUGGUAAUAAGCAUUUUUUCUGCCUUUUUGACACACAAAGUGAGUUUGCGCAGUAUAUUUUGCAAACCUUAUGUGUACUACGACUGUAUACUACUUCAUAUGUUGCUCAGCUAUGUCGGCUGAGUACAUCAAUACCCCCGUAUGUACCUUUGCCAGGUAUAUGUGGACAUUGAAGGGGCACAUUUGAGACACAGCCAUUCCAUUUUUUUCAAACUUUGAAUUUUUACGCUGUGUCCAUGUCCCAUUUUAGAGUAUUUUAAAAGGCUAUAUAAUCCAAUUACACCAUAAAGGCAUACCAUUUCUUAAAGAAGACAUCCCGGGGUAAUUCAAAAGGCAUAUUUUGAACCUUAGCGUGGGAUAAUUUUUCCGCUAGCUUGUACCAAGUGUAGUGGUAAUAAGCAUUUUUUCUGCCUUUUUGACACACAAAGUGAGUUUGCGCAGUAUAUUUUGCAAACCUUAUGUGUACUACGACUGUAUACUACUUCAUAUGUUGCUCAGCUAUGUCGGCUGAGUACAUCAAUACCCCCGUAUGUACCUUUGCCAGGUUUAUGUGGACAUUGAAGGGGCACAUUUGAGACACAGCCAUUCCAUUUUUUUAAACUUUGAAUUUUUACGCUGUGUCCAUGUCCCAUUUUAGAGUAUUUUAAAAGGCUAUAUAAUCCAAUUACACCAUAAAGGCAUACCAUUUCUUAAAGAAGACAUCCCGGGGUAAUUCAAAAGGCCUAUUUUGAACCUUAGCGUGGGAUAAUUUUUCCGCUAGCUUGUACCAAGUGUAGUGGUAAUAAGCAUUUUUUCUGCCUUUUUGACACACAAAGUGAGUUUGCGCAGUAUAUUUUGCAAACCUUAUGUGUACUACGACUGUAUACUACUUCAUAUGUUGUUCAGCUAUGUCGCUGAGUACAGCAAUACCCCCGUAUGUACCUUUGCCAGGUAUAUGUGGACAUUGAAGGGGCACAUUUGAGACACAGCCAUUCCAGUUUUUUCCAAACUUUGAAUUUUUACGCUGUGUCCAUGUCCCAUUUUAGAGUAUUUUACAAGGCUAUAUCAUCCAAUUACACCAUAAAGGCAUAUCAUUUCUUAAAGAAGACAUCCCAGGGUAAUUCAAAAGGCAUAUUUUGAACCUUAGCGUGGGAUAAUAUUUCCGCUAGCUUGUACCAAGUGUAGUGGUAAUGAGCAUUUUUAAAUGUAUUUUUUUACUUUGUAAAACUUUUUUUACUUUGUAAAACCCAUUUUUAAACUUUUUUUUUUACUUAUUAAAUGUUUUACACUAUCUUAACUUUUUUACACUUUUAAUUUUUUUUCUAAACUUUUCUUUUACCGUUAACCCCUAACUAGCAGUAAGCAGCACUAACCGUAAAUUCCCCAUUUUCCCAUAACUCCCACCCACCCCAGCUAGCAAAAUAUUUAAUUAUAAAAUAUUUAAAUUAAUUAAAUAAAUGGAACCCCUGAGGGUUAAAAAAAAUAAAUAAAAGUUAAUCCUCAGGGGUUAAAAAAAUUAGAUCACAGUAUAAUACUGUGAUCUGUAUUUUGAUCACUGUAGGCAGUGAUCAUCUGGCAGGGAAGGGGUUAAUUUUUAUUUAGACUGGGUAAAGGGGGUGGUAUUUUUUUUUUUUUUACUUAAACGUUACUAAAACAUUUAAAAAAAAUAAUUUUUUUACCUUUUUAAAGCUUAUUUUAAAACUUUUUUUAACGUUAACCCCUAGUUAGCCUAACACCAAAUUCCCCAAUUCCCCACUAACUUCCACCCAUCCCAGCUAGCUAAAUAUAUAAUUUUUUAAUAUUUAAAUUAAUUAAUAAAAUAAAUUUAACCCCUGAGGGUUAAAAAAAAAAUAAUUAACCCUCAGGGGUUAAAAAAAAAAAAUCAGAUGACAUUAAAAUGUAUACCCUGCCAAUUGAUCACUGUAGUCAGUGAUCAAUUGGCAGGGAAGGGGUUAAUUUUAUUAAAACAGGGGCAGGGGGGGGUGGGAUUUAACUUUAAUUUUUUUUUUUUUACACAGGGAAGCAGAUCAGCACUGAUCCGUCUCCCUGCACUUCACACAGAACCCGGAAGUGCAGGGAGGCGGAAGGUGAGUAUGUGGAGCACAUGUGCUCGCUCUGACAUGCUGUCAGAGCGAGCACCGGUGCUGGGGCAGCCCGAUCGGGUGCUCCCGGUCUGCCUCUAAUGCAGAGGCAGACCGGAGCACCGUUAACCCCGCGAUUGCCGCGAUCGCGGCGAUCUGGGGUUAACUUAAGAAAAUGACGGAAAUUUUCCGUCAACGGUCCUUAACUGAAGGACAAGGUUGACGGAAAAUUUCCGUCCACGGUCGGGAAGGGGUUAAUAAUAGUUUAACAUGAAAGUUUUGUAUUUUUUUCUCAGAAAUGAAUUUACAUCGCUUAUCAGUUUCUGUUGACGUAUGGUAUGGACCCAUGACCGUUUCAGAAAGAAGAACGAUUCUUUGUUCAGGAGAGCAUGAUGAAUUUGACUUUUGUGGAACACUGAAAGGAGGUACUAUACGCUAUGUUAAUAAAAUCAUUCCUGUAAUUGAGCAAAUCAUCAAAUCAACCUAUUACUAGAUCAUCUUAUUUAUCUUACAUGGACACAGUCCUCCUGGUUUGCUUUACUGUUUAACAUGAUUAAUUACCCUUUAAAUAACUGAGUACUAAUUAACAAUGUUGUUAUUGCUAACAGCUGGUCGAUAUCCGUGGCCAAAAACAUGACAAAAAGUUUUAAAGCUACAUGGCCACAGUUUGCAGAUUACUACAAUUAAUAUCCGCCCCGACAGAUACAGUGAGGGAAAAACGUAUUUGAUUCCCUGCUGAUUUUGAACGUUUGCCCACUGACAAAGAAAUGAUCAGUCUAUAAUUUUAAUAGUAGGUGUAUUUUAACAGUGAAAGACAUAACAACAAAAAAAAUCCAGAAACGCAUGUCAAAACAGUUAUAAAUUGAUUUGCAUGUCAAUUAGUGAAUUAAGUAUUUGACCCCCUUCGACUUAGUACUUGGUGGCAAAACCCUUGUUGGCAAUCGCAGAGGUCAGACGUUUCUUGUAGUUGGCCACCAGGUUUGCACACAUCUCAGGAGGGAUUUUGUCCCACUCCUCUUUGCAGAUCCUCUCCAUGUCAUUAAGGUUUAGAGGCUGACAUUUGGCAACUCGAACCUUCAGCUCCCUCCACAGAUUUUCUAUGGGAUUAAGGUCUGGAGACUGACCAUUACUGCUGCAAGAAAGUCAGUGAUCCAUUAGCUGAUUUGCAAUAAGCCAACGUAGCCUUCUGGAGAACCACACUAAGACUCUAUCCUGCACACUAUCAUUUAAUUAUAACUUAACCACCCUGUAAACUUACUUUAUUUUAUACGUUCUUGGUGUAUUGCAUAUUUUCUUACAUUUAUGUCUUGUAUGCAAUGCUAAAGUGUAGUUGUAUUAGCCCUGUAUGUAAUUGUUUUAUUCACAUAUAUGCAUAUCUCUAUUACCCCUCUGAUUUCUGCCCUCUGACCCCUCCCUUCUAUUAUUGAUAUCAACUCAAAUGUUUUUGUUUGAAUAACCAUCCCCUCAUCUCUUUGCUUAGAUGCAUAUCCCCCACCCUCAGCUUUAUUGCAGGCCGAUCUGAACCUCACAUACCUUUCUUCCACAACCUGAUUUCCAAACUUUCCAACCCCAUUACUGCUGAAAGAAAGUCUGAUACCCGCCAAGCCCACUCCAAGCUCAUUAUUGCACCCUAAGCUCAUUAUUACAUUUAUAGAUAGUCUGUCACACCCAAAUUUUACAUAAGCAGAAACAGCAGGUGUACACACCUUCCUUAUCAGUGCACUGCUGCACUUUCUUAACUCCUAAAACUUCAUUUUUUACCCUUCCUACUCCUUGAUAUUUUUUUACUCCCUCUCCCUCAGUAUCAAAAUUUCUCCUUACACCCACUUUCCUCACCCCCCCAACGACCUCUACAUUUCCCCCUUCUCUCAACUCAUGCCCUGCACUCAUUUUUCUGCUCCCUCUCUCCUAUCCACAAUCGAUCUCAUCCUGAACUCCAUGCACAUAAAACCCACUCAAACCACCUGUCACUAUCUCUCCUCCUUCUUCUAGCAGCUGGUGAUGUCUCUCCCAACCCAGGGACUGUCACCUACUCUGCACACACUAAGACAACCAGAAACCACAUAAACCUCAUAACAAUACCCUGCCCUUUACCCACAUUUGCCAGCAUUCAGUGUGCACUCUGGAACGCCCAUUCUGUCUGCAGCAAUCUGAAAUCAACAGCCAUACACAACCUUUUCAUCUCAAACCCACUCACACUACUAGCACUCACAGAGACCUGGCUUUCCCCCUCUGAUAGUGCUACUCCUGCCUCUUUAUGUUUUGGUGGGCUACAAUUCUCCCACACUCACAGACCCAACAACUGGAAAAGAGGUGGUAUAGGCAUCCUUCUCUCCCACAAAUGUACCUUUCAACCAAUCUCCUCCUGCCCUAUCCUUUACUUUCUUUGAAGUUCACACAGUCUGCCUAUUUAAGCCCACUCCUUUAAGAAUUGCUGUCAUCAAUCCCCUCCCCGCCCCAUGGUCAUCCUAGGCUAUUUAUUGAGCACUUUUCUUCCUGGCUACCUCACUUCCUCUCCUUUAGCACUCCUUCCCUUAUACUUGGGGAUUUUAAUAUCCCAAUCAACAACCCCAACUGCACUGAUGCCUCUCGUCUGCUCUCUGUAACCUCCUCCUUUGGCCUCAUGCAAUGGUCUAAUUCAGCAACCCAUACAGCAGGAAACACUCUUGAUCUCACCUUCACCAACCUCUGUACUGCCUAUAAUCUCUCCAAUAUUCCUUUUCCUCUAUCUGACCACCAUCCGCUUACUUUUUACAUCAGCACACCCAAGACCCAACUGACAUCACCCUCAGCACAUCAAUAUCACAGAAUGUCUUGGCCUAGAGCGCUUCUCCACUAACCUCCAAACUCUCCUUUUACCAAUCUCAAACCUCACCUGCCCUAGCUCUGCAAUCUCCUUCUACAAUUCCACCCUCUCCUCUCAACUAGGCGUCAUGGCACCUCCUAUACGUAAAUGCAGAACUACAACCUUGAAACACCAAGCUGACUCGAUACCACCAAAAAUACACUUUUAACUCUCUUCUUCGCCCUGUUGCUCUUCCUCCUCCUACCGACUUAACCACCACAAACUUUGCAUCUCACUUCACUGACAGGAUCUCUACAAUCAGGGAAGAGAUCUUUCAUCUCUCUCCUUCCUCUUACAAUAUUUACCCCAACCUCACUCACUCCCACUGUUCUAUGUUCAUUCGCACCUGCUUCAGCGGAAGAGGCUUCUGGUCUAAUCCGGUCCUUCCGCCCCACCAUCUGCUUCCUUAAACCUAUUCCCUCAUAUCUCAUCCGUACUCUGUCUCCUUCUCUUGCUUUGCCUCUUAUUAAAAUUCUCAAUCUCUCCCUCUCAUCUGGCAUGUUUCCAUUUCCCUUUAAACAUGUGACUGUAACCCCGAUUCUAAAAAAAGCCCAACCUUGGUCCUAUCUAGCUACUGCCUUUUGUGUCCAAGAUCCUUGAAAGACUUGUGUAUGUGAGAUUGACAGAUUUCCUCGAGUCCAAUUCUCUGCUCGACCCACUUCAGUCUGGUUUCUGCGCUCAGCACUCUGUGGAAACAGCUCUGACCAAAGUAUUAAACUACCUACCAAAAUCUCAUGGUCACUAGUCUAUCCUAAUUCUCCUUGACCUUUCCGCUGCUUUUGAUACUGUUGAUCAUCAACAGCUUCUUCUCAUCCUCUGUAAACUCAGCCCAUGAGAUAUUGCUCUCUCCUGGUGCUCCUUCUACCUCACCCAGCGCUCUUUUAGUGUUUCUUUCUCUGGCUCUGCCUCUUCCUCUGUUGGUAUCCCCCAAGGUUCAGUCCUUGGUUCCCAACUGUUCUCGAUCUACACUGCCUCCCUUGGUAAACUCAUCAGCUCCUUUGGCUUCCAUUAUCACUUCUAUGCAGAUGACACGCAAAUCUAUCUAUCCUCUCCUGAUCUCUCGCCGCCCCUCUUGACUAGUGUCUCUGACUGCCUCUCUGCUAUUUCUAACUGGAUGGCUGCCCACUUCCUUGAACUCAACUUGCCCAAAACAGAACUCAUGGUCUUUCAUCCCUCAAGUGUUGCUACUCCCGUCUCUGUCUCCCUCCACGUUAAUGUGCUACCAUCAGCUACACCACGCAGGCUCGCUGCCAAAGUGUUCUCUUUGACUCCGACAUCUCCUUCAUCCCUCAUAUCCAGUCAAUCUCAAAAUCCUGCCGCUUCCAUCUGAAAAACAUUGCGCACAUCCGCCCUACUUAACGUCAGAUGCGGCUAAGGUGCUGGUCCAUGCCACUGUCCUCUCUUGCCUUGACUACUGCAAUCCGCUACUCACUGGUCUUAUGUGCUCCCAACUUGACCCAUUGCAGUCUACAAUGAAUGCGGCGGCAAGGCUCAUCUUCUUGUCCACCCGCACCUCUCAUGCCUCACCCCUCUGUCAGUCCCUGCAUUGGCUUCCCGUAAGAUAUAGGGCUCAAUAUAAAACUCUAGUUCUUGCUUUCAAAUCUUUACAUAAUGCUACUCCCACCUAAGAAUCCUCCCUAAUACACAAGUAUGUCCCAUCUAGGCCCCUACGCUCUGCCGAAGACCUGCGUCUAUCCUCUGUUCGUACUCCCACCUAUGAUGCUCGUAUUCAAGAUUUCUCUAGGGCUGCACCAUUCCUGUGGAACUCCCUUCCCUUCUCCGUUAGAUGCUCACCCAGUCUCCACUUCUUCAUAAAAUCAUUAAAAACACACUUUUUCACAAAAGCAUAUGAAUUCAAUUGUUAAUGGCUCCAAAAAAAAAACACACUAAGUCUUCAUUGAGUACUAUUCUACCAAUCUACUUCCCUAAUACUUCCCUUACAUUUUGUGUCACUUUACCCCACUCCCUCUAGCUUGUAAGCACAUUGAGCAGGGCCCUCAACCCCUCUGUUUCUGUGCGUCCAACUCAUCCGGUUACAAUUUCCUGUUUCCUGUCUAGCCUAUUUUAGGCAUCAGCACUUUAGCACAUAUUGAUUUUGUCAAUUGUGCCACAAUGUUUGUGAGUGUUUUAAUUUAUCACUUUGGAAUUAAAAGUUUGCACUAUGAUGUUUUCUCUUUUUAUAUUUUUUAUGUGAAUAUUCCCAUUCAUUCGCUGGAGGGUAAUUAUAUCCAGUAUUUAUAUUUGGUGAUAAGUGGCGCCCUAUUUCUGUAUAGUAUAUACAGUUUUGUUUUUUGCACACCCAUUGUAAAGCGCUACGGAAUUUUUUGGCGCUAUAUAAAUAUAAUAAUACAAAUAAAUAAUAUGACAACAGAUCACUAUUUCCCAAAGAUUCAAAGGAAGCCAUGAAUGAGGAGAGCCUCAGUGAAUACCUUCUGCAGCCCAGAAACAGCUGAACUCACAGAUUAGAUUUGCCAAUGCUAUAUAUGUCCCUAUAAAUACAUUAACAAACCUAAGACCAUGUUGAACAUUAUACCACUUCCAUACUGCUCCAUGUAACACAUUCUAUAAUAAUACCAAGACCACAUAUAAAAUAAAUUGGUUUUAUUUACUCAAUCUAUACAAUUUACAACCAUUUAUAACUGGAACCACAAUCCAAAAACUGUGCCCACUUUUAUGUAGCCAACAAAUGGAGCACCAUGUACCCAUUUAACAAAAUGAGAGAAAUGUAUUAAAGGGUACUCAGAAGUAUCUUUUACUUUUGACCUUUAAUCUGAACAUUAGUAUUAAAUUGUUCUAAAGAUGGUUUAAAAUGUGCUUAUUUUUGGCUAAAUGACAUGACAAGUUUUUGCAUAAGUAUCCAUUUCAGUAGAGAUCAAUAAAUUGGCAGAAAAAAAAGUGAAAAAGAACAUUUUUCUGGUGAAACAAGUGACAGAAAUAUUGAUAUAUCAAAAUAGGAUAAAAUAAAAAAUAGAAAAGAUUAGGGAACAAAAGAAGCAACAAAUGACACCAUACAGAUUUAAUAUACUGCUCCAUCAAAUUGUGAUUUUUUGUUAAAAAAACAUCAUAACACUAUCUGCGACAGCUUGCUAAAUCUUACCCCAAAGUUUUAAUACUUCAAUUAUACUUUAUCAGCCUUGCUUACAGGUGCACUUUAGUCCCUGCCACAGGCCAGGUAUAUAUAAAACCAUAUGGGUAAAGAAUUUGUAUGUCUGUCCAGAUAAACUUACAUAUUUGUCUGUUUCUGUAAGUUUUUCUAUCCAUAUCUUUCUAAUUAUGUCUUUGUUUCUCCAGAAACAGUCCACACUUGGAUCGAAGGACGUUUUAAACAGUUCAGUUUUGCGAAGGUACUGUGUAACUUUAUAAUUAAAAACGUUAAAAUUAAAAAUAUACCUAGGUAUUAGUACUAAGUUAUGGUUUCACAGCAUCCUGGGUGAAAAUAAUUUGCCUUUUGGCCUUGAAAUCAAACACAAAUUAACAAACUAAGUUUAAAAUAAACAUAUUUUUCUUUUUAACCUUAGAAUGUCCCUUUAAAGGAACACUCCAAACACCAUAACUACUACAGAGCACCAUAGUAGCUAUGAAGCCAGGAGUGCCCUGCAUGCUCCUUCCCUCCCACAUAUGCAUUGCUCAGGUGGGUCUUUGGGGGCCGAAUCUCGGAUGUGGGGCUCUUUGGCCCUGAACCACUACAGUCCACGCAGAGGGAAGGAUGAUAUCUAUGUUUUUUUUAAAUUAUUUUUAAUUUUACAUUAGCCAGCUUCUUUUUAUAGAAUGUAUAUGAAGCAUUUUAUGAGAUAUUUAUGAGUUAGUGAUGUCCGAACGGUUUGCCGAAUGGUUCGCGAACGGUUCGCCUCGGACUCCAGUCAGCAGAUACAUUCCAGCCAAUCAGCAGCAGACCCUCCCUCCUUGACCAUCCCACCUCCUGGACAGCAUCCAUUUUGAAGCUGCAUUCUUAGUGAGCUGUCCAGGAGGUGGGAGGGUCUGGGAGGGAGGGUCUGCUGCUGAUUGGCUGGAAUGUGCCUGCUGACUGGAGUCCUUGGCGAACCGUUCACGGUGAACCGAUGCGAACCGUUCGGCACAUCACUGUUUAUGAGCAAUGUAUUAAAUUACUUGCAUGUUUGAGUUGUAUUAUAUACCCAUAAAAUAAACAAACAUGCAACAGAACUUAACAUCUGGUUACUAUAACCGUUUGAAUUAUACUACUACUUAUUGACUAACUACAUGCUAUUAGUUGUAAAUACCAAUGUUUCUCUAAUAUUUUUUUUUUUUAGGGCACAUAUACAAUCAAUAUUAAUGCAUUCGCUGGUGAACAAGAAGAAUGUAUUUUCUGUGGUACAAUUAAUUUAAC